GGAAGUCUGUAGUCUUGGCAACAGAGCCUGAGACUGCGAUGACCUAAUUUAACUGUAACCUUCUAUUGUUCCUAAGCCCUGGAGCGUU